CAGGUGCUGCAUGGCUGUCGUCAGCUCGUGUUGUGAGAUGUUGGGUUAAGUCCCGCAACGAGCGCAACCCUUGUCCUUAUUUGCCAGCACGUAAUGGUGGGAACUCUAAGGAGACUGCCGGUGACAAACCGGAGGAAGGUGGGGAUGACGUCAAGUCAUCAUGGCCCUUACGGGUGGGGCUACACACGUGCUACAAUGGUAGGUACAGAGGGCUGCAACCCGGCGAGGGUAAGCAAAUCCCAAAAACUCUGUCUCACUCCGGAUUGAAGUCUGCAACUCGACUCCUUGAAUUCGAAAUCGCUAGUAAUCGCAAAUCAAAAUUGCU
rnacentral:rRNA from 1 species